UACCUCAAAAAAGGGAAUACUGACGGGGUCCGCUUGAUAAAUUAACCUACUCCCCAAGCCCUAUAGCCGGCUCUUCAGUCGGUUAAUUUGGAAAUUCGGUUUUCGGGAUUCCUGUGGUGAGCAAAACCCUGAAAACGAUUAUUACCCCGAAAACACACAGGAGUACCGGCUCGCAGACUACAAGCACCCUCAAAUCAUUCCCCCACCCCUCCCCCCAAAAAACAUAUCCUUUUGUACAGACAGCUUUUCCGUGGCCUGAGAUUGGAGAUAGGCCGUGUUAUGCCCCCUUUACAUUCUUACAGUAGAAUAAUAUUAUAUUUAUUCUAACUUUCCAUAGAGUAGCAAAGGUCCACAAAUGUAACAUUGAAAGAUAUAUCUGCUAACUGUGUAUGAUUUAUUAUUUCGAUGAAAUGCGUGAAAUGACGUUCAUUGUAUUCCAAUUUAGAAUUGAAGUGAUGUAUAAGCCUAAUGAAAAUAAUGUGAUUACUUGCUUUUUACACAAGUGGCUCUCUUUAUCCCUAUACGGAUUUCAAUUAACUUUCAAUCUGUCCUCACAUUCUUUUUAGAAAGUAUGUAGUAAAGUGUUUGAUUUUACGCCAGAGAUCCUUGACACAGUAAAGUAGUAAUUGAUCACCUCUACGGGGCACAGAGAACAUAUGGGAGAACAGAGCUGCCUUUUGUCUCGACGACAAUUAAUUUUCACGGAGUUUGGCUUUUUUGAAUAAAUUAACCUAGCAAGACGCUGUUUUUGUAGUGUGAUUAUAUCAAGAUCGCGCAGGUAUCGCAUACCGCGAAAAGGCGCAAAACCAAGCUGUAAAUAUGGUUGAGACAACGACCGCCAUUGUGGUUUCUUCAAUUCUCUUCGUUGCUUUUUUUAUUGGAUGGCUUAUGACAAUUAUCUGUUGCAAGUGUCGAUCUCCGAAAGCUAAGAACAGUGAGCGAAACAUGUAUUCCCCGCCACGAGAUAUAGAAGAAGAAGAAAAAGAGGCUAUGGUACGACACUCUGGGGAACGAACACAAGAGAAAUCUUUUAGUGUGGAGGUUUGAUUAUUUACAACAUUCAUUUUCUACGUAAUAACAACACAUAAGUACUGCAAGCGAAGAAUCACACAAUCGUUUAAAAACACGGGAAGAUUUUAAAAUUAGGGGGAGUUUUGCAACUAUGGCCAUGAACAUUUCAUCGAAAUAUUACAGGAAUGGAAGCCCUUGCGUUAGCAGCUCUUUAGAAAACUACGGUAUCACUGCUUUCAAGAGUGUAAGGGAUUUAAGGAGUGGUAAUUCCUUAACAAGAUCGAUCAAAGAAAAGACUAAGUAAAAUGAGAGACGCUUCAACCAGGUUCACUGCAAACUUUAUAUAUAAAAAAUGGAAAUAAAAGAAUGUUAUCACCUUU